UCAUUCUUUGUUUUUCCAUCCACGGAAUUUCUUUGGGAGAAUGUAUCAAUACGGGUUUGAAUGAUCUUGCAUACAGAUUCAUCUUCAAGAAAGAAAUUUUGUGAAAAGAAGAGCAGGAGUGUUUAUGGAGUUAUUCCAUUGGCUACUGUAGUCUCCUUAUGAUUUUGGUGUCAUAAUAACCCCGCAAGGAAAUUAAGGUACAAGGGAGUAAUUUGGCGAAGAGAGAACACAAUCAGCCAUAGUUUGCUUAAUCAGUGUUUUUGAAGAAGGCCACUGAAGCAUAAUCAAACUAUAAUCAAACAAACCACCAUAUAACUUCAUAUGAAGAUAUGCAAGGCAAUUAACUUGGUUAGGUGACCUCCAGAAAAACUCAUGCCUGAAUAUUGAAUCCUCAAACUAGACCAGGUAUAUUUAUAUACACUGUUAAAAACUUAAAAGAAGCUCUACAUGGCAGCCCACUUCCUGAGCCAUGAAGACAUCCGCAUUGAGGCAAAAUGAAAAGGGAUCACAGAGAGCUGUUAACAGCCCAACUUUCCUUGAAGAACUUCUACAGGUAAAAUUAUCAUGGUUCCAUUUCCCAACAGUUCCUCAGCUGUUACUUUAUGACACAUCUUGGGGAGCAAUCCAAUUAUCACAAUCCUCUCUAAUGAAGCAGGUCGCCUUGAUGAUACCCGGAGGGAGACAUGAUCCGCCUUAAUCAGCCAAAUCAGCCAAAACAGAUCACCUAUUUCCCCUUCCCCAAAGGCUACUGUGAAGCUCUUCUGACAAGGAGAUCUCUUUGGUUGUUCUUCAAAGCCGCUCCCCUAAUUGAAGUCCCAACGAUGCAGAAAGCACCCCAUCUAAGAUCUUUACGGGUCUAAUGUUACUUUUUGCAUGUCCAGGUGGAAUAGGAAGAAGCUAUUCUUACAUGAAUGGAAUGACCUCAGAAAGUGCAUUAUGGUGCCCUCUGCUGGUUAAAACCUCAGCCAGAGAGCUUAACAGCAGAUGGGGGUGAGAGUGUAUGAAGCAGAAAAGAGAGCACGGAAGUGAAAUUAAGCAACAGUCAAGGAGCUUUGUCAAUAACACUGGGCAAGGCUUGAAAAUUGUAAUCACAUACCAGGGAGGACUAUCUCAUUCUUAGCAGAUCUUGCACUAACUGUCAGCUGUGUACAUGUAACUAGUUCAAGGAUGUUGAAACAGAAGCUGUGGGAGGGAGGAAAAACAAACAGGAACUGAGACUUUUCCAAGUUGUUGAUUUCCUCACCACAAGGAAAAAGAGGCUUGUAGACUUUUGCAUAGGCUGGCAAGUAUGUGCAAGGCUUGGAAUGCACUACCUGACUCCGUUGUUACAUCCCCAAACCCCCAUAAUUUUAACCUAAGACUGUCUCCUGUUGAUCUCCUCACCCCAUUCCUAAGAGGUCCACAAGGGGGCGUGCAUAAGUGCACCAGCGCCCUGUCCUACUGGUCCCAUUUAUUUGUCCCAUUUCCUGUGUUCUUAUUCAUGUUUAUUCUUAUUCCUCUUAUCUUGUACAUGAGUGACAAACUAAAUAAAUAAGCUGAAACCCUCCCUGUCCAUGUUCUAUGACAACUAAAGAGAAGAAAGGGAAAUG